rnacentral:lncRNA from 1 species
UGACCAAAAAACUACAUUUUAUGAGCAUUUUGAGAGUUUCCCUUUUUUGCUAAAUACUCGCAUCUCAGUUAAUCUCUCUCUCACGCGCGCGCGCACACGUGUGCGCACUCAUGAGCACAUACACAUGCAUCCUGUCUCCUACAGAGAUCCAAGAGAAGUGCAGCAACCAGAAAGCCAGAGUUUCCUAGUAAAUCUAACUUUAAAAAAAAAAGAAAAACACAACUGCAUAUCUUAUUUGUUCCAGGUGGGGUAGAUUGUGGGGUGAGUUGUGGAAGCUAUCGCACAAUGGCAAAGCCAAGAUUUG